UGGGUGGGCAUAUUACAGCGCUUUUGUGAGAAAGCGCUGUAAUAUGCCCACCCAUAUAUGAAAUUAUGGGUGGGCAUUUUACAGCGCUUUUUUGAGAAAGCGCUGUAAAAUGCACACCCAUAACU